rnacentral:lncRNA from 1 species
GAAACCCGUUCAGGACCGUCUCUCUGCAGGAGAGAGCGCUUCUUUUUCUUUUGCCUAUUAAACCUCCACGCUUAACAUCACUCCUUGUGUGCCUGCGUCCUUGAUUUCCUUGGCAUGAGACAAUGAAUAUCAGGUAUCACCCCAGACAACGAGGCCGCUUCAAAAUCACCAUGUCCUUCCCAGGGGUUCCCCAGGGAGGAAAAGCCCUGAGGACAAAGGAAGUCUGCAUAGGAAAGUGGAAGCACGAGGCCCUCAUCAGAAGCCGGCCAGAUGUAUCUGCUGGAUCUUGGACUUUCCAACCUCCAGAAGCCAAGCCAAAAUAAACCUCUUUCCUU